GACGAACGCUGGCGGCGUGCUUAACACAUGCAAGUCGAACGGUGAUGCUCCAGCUUGCUGGAGUGGAUCAGUGGCGAACGGGUGAGUAACACGUGAGCAACCUGCCCCAGACUCUGGAAUAAGCGCUGGAAACGGCGUCUAAUACUGGAUACGAAACUGGCCCGCAUGGGCAUGGUUUGGAAAGUUUUUCGGUUUGGGAUGGGCUCGCGGCCUAUCAGCUUGUUGGUGAGGUAAUGGCUCACCAAGGCGACGACGGGUAGCCGGCCUGAGAGGGCGACCGGCCACACUGGGACUGAGACACGGCCCAGACUCCUACGGGAGGCAGCAGUGGGGAAUAUUGCACAAUGGGAGAAAGCCUGAUGCAGCGACGCCGCGUGAGGGAUGACGGCCUUCGGGUUGUAAACCUCUUUCAGCAGGGAAGAAGCGAAAGUGACGGUACCUGCAGAAGAAGCACCGGCUAACUACGUG
rnacentral:rRNA from 1 species